GAGUGGCGCACGGGUGCGUAACGCGUAUGCAACUUGCCUUCUACAGGGGGAUAGCCCAUGGAAACGUGGAUUAAAACCGCAUAAUACUAAUGAAUCGCAUGGUUUAUUAGUUAAAGCUUCGGUGGUAGAAGAUGGGCAUGCGUAGGAUUAGCUAGUUGGUAGUGUAAUGGACUACCAAGGCAACGAUCCUUAGGGGUUCUGAGAGGAUGAUCCCCCACACUGGUACUGAGAUACGGACCAGACUCCUACGGGAGGCAGCAGUAGGGAAUCUUCCGCAAUGGGCGAAAGCCUGACGGAGCAAUACCGCGUGAGGGAUGACGGCCUAUGGGUUGUAAACCUCUUUUUUCAGGGAGGAAUCAAUGACGUGUACCUGAAGAAUAAGCAUCGGCUAACUCCGUGCCAGCAGCC
rnacentral:rRNA from 1 species